rnacentral:rRNA from 1 species
AGUAAUGCUUGGGAAUCUGGCUUAUGGAGGGGGAUAACUACGGGAAACUGUAGCUAAUACCGCGUAGUGUCGAGAGACGAAAGUGCGGGACCGCAAGGCCGCAUGCCAUGAGAUGAGCCCAAGUGGGAUUAGGUAGUUGGUGGGGUAAGGGUCUACCAAGCCUGCGAUCUCUAGCUGGUCUGAGAGGAUGGCCAGCCACACUGGAACUGAGACACGGUCCAG